rnacentral:rRNA from 1 species
AAGUCGUAACAAGGUCUCCGUUGGUGAACCAGCGGAGGGAUCAUUACUGAGUACUACACUCUCUACCCUUUGUGAACUAUUAUACCUGUUGCUUCGGCGGCGCCCGCAAGGGUGCCCGCCGGUCUCAUCAGAAUCUCUGUUUUCGAACCCGACGAUACUUCUGAGUGUUCUUAGCGAACUGUCAAAACUUUUAACAACGGAUCUCUUGGCUCCAGCAUCGAUGAAGAACGCAGCGAAACGCGAUAUGUAAUGUGAAUUGCAGAAUUCAGUGAAUCAUCGAAUCUUUGAACGCACAUGGCGCCUUCCAGUAUCCUGGGAGGCAUCGCCUGUCCGAGCGUCGUUUCAACCCUCGAGCCCCUGUGGCCCGGCGUUGGGGAUCUGCCACGGCAGGCCCCUAAAACCAGUGGCGGACCCGAAGGGCCCUCUCCUUUGCGCAGUAGCAUUCGCCUCGCAUCGGGAGUCCUCGGCGUCCUGCCUCUAAACCCCCCACAAGCCCGCUUCGGCGGCACCAAGGUUGACCUCGGAUCAGGUAGGAAUACCCGCUGAACUUAA